GACGAACGCUGGCGGCGCGCCUAACACAUGCAAGUCGAACGGAGAAAGAAACAGCUUGCUGGAUCUUUCUUAGUGGCGGACGGGUGAGUAACACGUGAGCAACCUGCCCUUCAGAGUGGAAUAACGUUUGGAAACGAACGCUAAUACCGCAUAACACCAUUGGAUGGCAUCAUCUGGUGGUCAAAGAUUUAUCGCUGAAAGAUGGCCUCGCGUCUGAUUAGCUAGUUGGUGAGGUAACGGCCCACCAAGGCGACGAUCAGUAGCCGGACUGAGAGGUUGACCGGCCACAUUGGGACUGAGAUACGGCCCAGACUCCUACGGGAGGCAGCAGUGGGGAAUAUUGGGCAAUGGGCGCAAGCCUGACCCAGCAACGCCGCGUGAAGGAAGAAGGCUUUCGGGUUGUAAACUUCUUUUGUCAGGGAAGAGUAGAAGACUGUACCUGGCGAAUAAGCCACGGCUAACUACGUG
rnacentral:rRNA from 1 species